AUUGAACGCUGGCGGCAUGCCUUACACAUGCAAGUCGAACGGCAGCACGGGUGCUUGCACCUGGUGGCGAGUGGCGAACGGGUGAGUAAUACAUCGGAACGUACCUUAUCGUGGGGGAUAACGCAGCGAAAGCUGUGCUAAUACCGCAUACGCCCUGAGGGGGAAAGCGGGGGAUCGCAAGACCUCGCGCGAUUAGAGCGGCCGAUGCCUGAUUAGCUAGUUGGUGGGGUAAAAGCCCACCAAGGCGACGAUCAGUAGCUGGUCUGAGAGGACGAUUAGCCACACUGGGACUGAGACACGGCCCAGACUCCGACGGGAGGCAGCAGUGGGGAAUUUUGGACAAUGGGGGCAACCCUGAUCCAGCAAUGCCGCGUGAGUGAAGAAGGCCUUCGGGUUGUAAAGCUCUUUUGUCAGGGAAGAAACACCGGCUCUAACACAGUCCGGGAAUGACGGUACCUGAAGAAUAAGCACCGGCUAACUACGUGCCAGCAGCCGCCGUAA
rnacentral:rRNA from 1 species